UACGGAGGGUGCAAGCGUUAUCCGGAAUUACUGGGCGUAAAGGGCUUGUAGGUGGCCAACUAAGUCAGACGUGAAAUCCCUCGGCUUAACCGGGGAACUGCGUCUGAUACUGGAUGGCUUGGAUUCGGGAGAGGAAUGCGGAAUUCCGGGUGUAGUGGUGAAAUGCGUAGAGAUCCGGAGGAACACCAGAGGCGAAGGCGGCACCCUGGCCUAAUACUGACACUGAGACGCGAAAGCAUGGGGAGCGAACGGG
rnacentral:rRNA from 1 species